rnacentral:rRNA from 1 species
UGUCUUGUAAUUGGAAUGAUGGGAAUUUAAACCUCUUCCAGAGUAUCAAUUGGAGGGCAAGUCUGGUGCCAGCAGCCGCGGUAAUUCCAGCUCCAAUAGCGUAUAUUAAAAUUGUUGCAGUUAAAAAGCUCGUAGUUGAAUUUCUGCUGCAUUUCAUUUCUCUUUCUGAGUUUGUUUUUGCGGCUUAUUUCGGUUUGAUUUUUUCUUUCCGGAUGAUUACUUUGAGAAAAUUAGAGUGCUCAAAGCAGGCUUUUGCCUUGAAUAGUUUAGCAUGGAAUAAUAAAGUAGGACUUUGGUUCUAUUUUGUUGGUUUUAGGUACCAAAGUAAUGGUUAAUAGGAACAGUUGGGGGCAUUCGUAUUUAACUGUCAGAGGUGAAAUUCUUAGAUUUGUUAAAGACGAACUACUGCGAAAGCAUUUGCCAAGGAUGUUUUCAUUAAUCAAGAACGAAAGUUAGGGGAUCGAAGACGAUCAGAUACCGUCGUAGUCCUAACCAUAAACUAAA